CGGAGGAAAAGAAACCACAGGGAUUGCCCUAAUAACGGCGAGUGAAGCGGCAAUAGCUCAAAUUUGAAAGCUGGCCUUCUGGUCCGCAUUGUAAUUUGUAGAGGAUGCUUUUAGGCAGCCGCCGGUCUAAGUUCCUUGGAACAGGACGUCAUAGAGGGUGAGAAUCCCGUAUGUGACCGGCUCUGGCACCUUAUGUAAAGCUCCUUCGACGAGUCGAGUUGUUUGGGAAUGCAGCUCUAAAUGGGAGGUAAAUUUCUUCUAAAGCUAAAUACUGGCGAGAGACCGAUAGCGCACAAGUAGAGUGAUCGAAAGAUGAAAAGCACUUUGGAAAGAGAGUUAAAAAGCACGUGAAAUUGUUGAAAGGGAAGCGCUUGCAAUCAGACUUGGACUUGGCUGUUCAACCGGUCUUCUGACCGGCCUACUCAGUCUUGUCCAGGCCAGCAUCAGUUUCGGCGGCCGGAUAAAGGCCCUGGGAAUGUAGCUGCCUCUUCGGGGGCAGUGUUAUAGCCCAGGGUGUAAUACGGCCAGCUGGGACUGAGGUCCGCGCUUCGGCUAGGAUGCUGGCGUAAUGGUUGUAAGCGGCCCGU
rnacentral:rRNA from 1 species